rnacentral:rRNA from 1 species
GGUCAAGUUGUCAAGGGCGAACGGUGGAUGCCUUGGCACCAGGAGCCGAUGAAGGACGUGGGAGGCCGCGAUAGGCCUGGGGGAGCUGUCAACCAAGCUGUGAUCCCAGGGUGUCCGAAUGGGGAAACCUGGCACCAGUCAUGUGGUGUCACCUGCACCUGAACACAUAGGGUGUAUGGGGGGAACGCGGGGAAGUGAAACAUCUCAGUACCCGUAGGAAGAGAAAACAANNNNNNNNNNNNNNNNNNNNNNNNNNNNNNNNNNNNNNNNNNNNNNNNNNNNNNNNNNNNNNNNNNNNNNNNNNNNNNNNNNNNNNNNNNNNNNNNNNNNUUAGUGAUUCCGUGAGUAGUGGCGAGCGAAAGCGGAUUGAGGCUAAACCGGUUGCGUGUGAUACCUGUCAGGGGUUGCGUGGUCGGGGUUGUGGGACCCUGCUGAACGAGCUGACACUUGUUCGAGAAGUUAUCAAGUUAGUGGCUAGUCGAACAGUCUGGAAUGGCUGACCGUAGACGGUGAGAGUCCGGUAGGUGAAAGUUGCUGACCUUCUGUGGGUGUUCCCGAGUAGCGGCGGACCCCUGAAAUCUGCCGUGAAUCUGCCAGGACCACCUGGUAAGCCUAAAUACUUCCUGGUGACCGAUAGCGGACGAGUACCGUGAGGGAAUGGUGAAAAGUACCCCGGGAGGGGAGUGAAAUAGUACCUGAAACCGUUCGCCUACAAUCCGUCGGAGCCUUGCGGGGUGACGGCGUGCCUUUUGAAGAAUGAGCCUGCGAGUUAGUGGCAUGUGGCGAGGUUAACCCGUGUGGGGGAGCCGUAGCGAAAGCGAGUCUGAAUAGGGCGUCGUAGUCGCAUGUUCUAGACCCGAAGCGGAGUGAUCUAGCCAUGGGCAGGCUGAAGCGCGGGUAAGACCGCGUGGAGGGCCGAACCCACCAACGUUGAAAAGUUGGGGGAUGACCUGUGGUUAGGGGUGAAAGGCCAAUCAAACUCCGUGAUAGCUGGUUCUCCCCGAAAUGCAUUUAGGUGCAGCGUCGCGUGUUUCUUGCCGGAGGUAGAGCACUGGAUGGUCUAGGGGGCCCACAAGCUUACCGAAAUCAGCCAAACUCCGAAUGCCGGUAAGUGAGAGCGCGGCAGUGAGACUGCGGGGGAUAAGCUUCGUAGUCGAGAGGGAAACAGCCCAGAUCACCAGCUAAGGCCCCUAAGCGUGUGCUAAGUGGAAAAGGAUGUGGGGUCGCAUAGACAACCAGGAGGUUGGCUUAGAAGCAGCCACCCUUUAAAGAGUGCGUAAUAGCUCACUGGUCAAGUGGUUCCGCGCCGACAAUGUAGCGGGGCUCAAGCACACCGCCGAAGCUGUGGCACUCACAUUUUACUUCGCAUCUCCUUGAUGGGGUGUGCAGGUGUGUGGGUGGGUAGGGGAGCGUCGUGCCGGGGGUGAAGCAGCGGGGUGACCCAGUUGUGGACGCGGCACGAGUGAGAAUGCAGGCAUGAGUAGCGAAAGAAGGGUGAGAAACCCUUCCGCCGGAUGACCAAGGGUUCCAGGGCCAGGCUAAUCCGCCCUGGGUGAGUCGGGACCUAAGGCGAGGCCGAGAGGCGUAGUCGAUGGACAACGGGUUGAUAUUCCCGUACCCGCGAAAGAGCGCCCGUGAUGAACCUUAUUGUGCUAACCGCCCGAGCUGUUUGAGGUCUUCGGACUGAGGAUGGUGAGCGUGGGAACCUGGUGGGUAGUAGUCAAGCGAUGGGGUGACGCAGGAAGGUAGCUGAGCCCGGCCGGUGGUUGUGCCGGGGUAAGCGUGUAGGCCGUGUUGUAGGCAAAUCCGCAACACAUGGGGCUGAGACGUGAUGCCGAGCCGAUUCAGGUGAAGUCAGUGAUCCUAUGCUGCCGAGAAAAGCCUCUAGCGAGUUCUUAGCGGCCCGUACCCCAAACCGACACAGGUGGUCAGGUAGAGAAUACCGAGGCGAUCGGGCGAACUGUGGUUAAGGAACUCGGCAAAUUGCCCCCGUAACUUAGGGAGAAGGGGGGCCGGAGACGUGAAGCCCCGUGCGGGUGGAGCGUUGUAUGGCCGCAGAGAGCAGGGGGAAGCGACUGUUUACUAAAAACACAGGUCCAUGCGAAGAAGUAAUUCGAUGUAUAUGGACUGACGCCUGCCCGGUGCUGGAACGUUAAGGGGACCUGUUAGCUCUUCGGGGCGAAGCGGAGAACUUAAGCGCCAGUAAACGGCGGUGGUAACUAUAACCAUCCUAAGGUAGCGAAAUUCCUUGUCGGGUAAGUUCCGACCUGCACGAAUGGCGUAACGACUUCCCCACUGUCUCAACCACAGGCCCGGCGAAAUUGCAUUACGAGUAAAGAUGCUCGUUACGCGCGGCAGGACGGAAAGACCCCGGGACCUUUACUAUAGCUUGACAUUGGUAUCUGAAUGGGCUUGUGUAGGAUAGGUGGGAGCCGGUGAAACCUGUACGCCAGUAUGGGUGGAGGCAAUCUUGAAAUACCACUCUGGUUGAUUUGGGUAUCUAACUUCGGACCGUUAUCCGGUUCAGGGACAGUGUCUGGUGGGUAGUUUAACUGGGGCGGUUGCCUCCUAAAGGGUAACGGAGGCGCCCAAAGGUUCCCUCAGCCUGGUUGGCAAUCAGGUGUUGAGUGCAAGUACACAAGGGAGCUUGACUGUGAGACUGACAGGUCGAGCAGGGACGAAAGUCGGGACUAGUGAUCCGGCACUUGCGAGUGGAAGCGGUGUCGCUCAACGGAUAAAAGGUACCCCGGGGAUAACAGGCUGAUCUUCCCCAAGAGUCCAUAUCGACGGGAUGGUUUGGCACCUCGAUGUCGGCUCGUCGCAUCCUGGGGCUGUAGCAGGUCCCAAGGGUUGGGCUGUUCGCCCAUUAAAGCGGUACGCGAGCUGGGUUUAGAACGUCGUGAGACAGUUCGGUCCCUAUCCGCCGUGCGCGUAGGAUACUUGAGAAGGGCUGUCCCUAGUACGAGAGGACCGGGACGGACGAACCUCUGGUGUGCCAGUUGUCCCGCCAGGGGCACGGCUGGUUAGCUACGUUCGGAAGGGAUAACCGCUGAAAGCAUCUAAGCGGGAAGCCUGCUUCAAGAUGAGGUAUCCCACCCCACAUUUGUGGGGGUAAGGCCCCCAGCUAGACGACUGGGUUGAUAGGCCGGAAAUGUAAGCCCGGUAACGGGUUCAGUUGACCGGUACUAAUAGGCCGAGGACUUGACAAC